rnacentral:RNase_P_RNA from 1 species
UGAGCCGUCCGGGUGACCGCGGCUCGGGGACCACCCCGGGUCGAGGAAGGUCGGGACUCCGCAGGGCAGGGUGCUGGCGCGAGCCAGGUCGGAGCGAUCCGACGGUACAGGGCAACAGAGAGCAGACCGCCGAUGGCGACCCCUCGGGGUCGCACAGGUGAGGGUGAAACGGUGCGGUAAGAGCGCACCAGCGUCGGAGGUGACUCCGGCGGCUGGGCAACCCCACCCGGAGCAAGGCCGAGCAGAGGGCAUGGGCGGCCCGUCCGCCACGGGAGACCGUGGCACCCUCGGGUAGGCCGCACAGACGGAUGGUCACCGAUCCGGACCCCCGCAAGGGACCGGGGAACAGAAUCCCGCCUACAGGACGGCUCACCGG